rnacentral:rRNA from 1 species
AUUGAACGCUGGCGGCAGGCCUAACACAUGCAAGUCGAGCGGAUCGGCGGACGGGUGAGUAAUGCUUAGGUAUCUGCCUGGUAGUGGGGGAUGACGUUCGGAAACGGGCGCUAUUACCGCAUCCUCUCAGAUGAGCCUAGGUGGGAUUAGCUAGUUGGUGGGGUAAAGGCCUACCAAGGCGACGAUCCGUAACUGGUCUGAGAGGAUGAUCAGUCACACUGGAACUGAGACACGGUCCAGACUCCUACGGGAGGCAGCAGUGGGGAAUAUUGGACAAUGGGCGAAAGCCUGAUGCAGCCAUGCCGCGUGUAUGAAGAAGGUCUUCGGAUUGUAAAGCACUUUAAGUUGGGAGGCGUUACCAACAGAAUAAGCACCGGCUAACUUCGUGCCAGCAGCCGCGGUAAUAC